rnacentral:lncRNA from 1 species
UGUGCACCUAUUUCUUAAGAUGGAAAUUCUUUUAAUAUAAUUUUGGUUCUAAAAAUGGGAGUGAAGGAGGGCGUUUCCGUGCUUCAAUACAGCUAAGAUUUCUGAUGGCCCAAUCAAGAAAUGCAUAGCCAUAUCUAUUAAACGACCAAACAGCAGUGUGAUUUCAUUUUGAGCCUUGCGUUGAUGAGUUGAAAUAUUUCCAGCCUUUUGGUAUGAAAGCGGUGCUCCUAGAAGAGAAAUGAAGUUGUGGGGGUGCCGUCUCUCUUGUUCUAUGGAUCAAGGGAUUUUUUUAUAUGCUCUUAUAAAAUGGUGCAAGAUUUUGUACCUCUCUUUGUAAGAUGAGGAGCGGAGAAUAAAGCAAAUGGGAAGUUGCGCAAUAUUUUGCUA